rnacentral:rRNA from 3 species
GGGUUGUGAGGUUAAGCGACUAAGCGUACACGGUGGAUGCCCUGGCAGUCAGAGGCGAUGAAGGGCGUGCUAAUCUGCGAUAAGCGCCGGUAAGGUGAUAUGAACCGUUAUAACCGGCGAUACCCGAAUGGGGAAACCCAGUGUGAUUCGUCACACUAUCAUUAACUGAAUCCAUAGGUUAAUGAGGCGAACCGGGGGAACUGAAACAUCUAAGUACCCCGAGGAAAAGAAAUCAACCGAGAUUCCCCCAGUAGCGGCGAGCGAACGGGGAGGAGCCCAGAGCCUGAAUCAGCAUGUGUGUUAGUGGAAGCGUCUGGAAAGGUGCGCGAUACAGGGUGACAGCCCCGUACACAAAAGCGCAUGUGCUGUGAGCUCGAUGAGUAGGGCGGGACACGUGGUAUCCUGUCUGAAUAUGGGGGGACCAUCCUCCAAGGCUAAAUACUCCUGACUGACCGAUAGUGAACCAGUACCGUGAGGGAAAGGCGAAAAGAACCCCGGCGAGGGGAGUGAAAAAGAACCUGAAACCGUGUACGUACAAGCAGUGGGAGCACAGGUUUACCUGUGUGACUGCGUACCUUUUGUAUAAUGGGUCAGCGACUUAUAUUCUGUAGCAAGGUUAACCGUAUAGGGGAGCCGUAGGGAAACCGAGUCUUAAC